UUGAACGCUGGCGGAAUGCUUUACACAUGCAAGUCGAGCGGCAGCGCGGGGCAACCUGGCGGCGAGCGGCGAACGGGUGAGUAACAUAUCGGAACGUACCCUAUCGUGGGGGAUAACACAUCGAAAGAUGUGCUAAUACCGCAUACGACCUGAGGGUGAAAGCGGGGGAUCGCAAGACCUCGCGCGACAGGAGCGGCCGAUAUCGGAUUAGCUAGUUGGUGAGGUAAAGGCUCACCAAGGCGACGAUCCGUAGCUGGUCUGAGAGGACGACCAGCCACACUGGAACUGAGACACGGUCCAGACUCCUACGGGAGGCAGCAGUGGGGAAUUUUGGACAAUGGGGGCAACCCUGAUCCAGCCAUUCCGCGUGAGUGAAGAAGGCCUUCGGGUUGUAAAGCUCUUUCAGCAGGAGCGAAACGGUCGUUUUUAAUACAGACGGCUAAUGACGGUACCUGCGGAAGAAGCACCGGCUAACUACGU
rnacentral:rRNA from 1 species